rnacentral:rRNA from 1 species
GACGAACGCUGGCGGCGUGCCUAAUACAUGCAAGUAGAACGCUGAAGGAGGAGCUUGCUUCUCCGGAUGAGUUGCGAACGGGUGAGUAACGCGUAGGUAACCUGCCUGGUAGCGGGGGAUAACUAUUGGAAACGAUAGCUAAUACCGCAUAACAGUAGAUGUUGCAUGACAUUUGCUUAAAAGGUGCAAUUGCAUCACUACCAGAUGGACCUGCGUUGUAUUAGCUAGUUGGUGAGGUAACGGCUCACCAAGGCGACGAUACAUAGCCGACCUGAGAGGGUGAUCGGCCAAACUGGGACUGAGACACGGCCCAGACUCCUACGGGAGGCAGCAGUAGGGAAUCUUCGGCAAUGGACGGAAGUCUGACCGAGCAACGCCGCGGGAGUGAAGAAGGUUUUCGGAUCGUAAAGCUCUGUUGUAAGAGAAGAACGAGUGUGAGAGUGGAAAGUUCACACUGUGACGGUAUCUUACCAGAAAGGGACGGCUAACUACGUG